UGCAGUCGAGGGGUAGGGUUACUUCGGUAUCUGAGACCGGCGCACGGGUGCGUAACGCGUAUGCAAUCUACCUUUUACUAUGGGAUAGCCCAGAGAAAUUUGGAUUAAUACCAUAUAGUAUAUUUGAAUGGCAUCGUUUGAAUAUUAAAGAUUUAUCGGUAAAAGAUGAGCAAGCGUCCCAUUAGUUAGUUGGUGUGGUAACGGCAUACCAAGACGAUGAUGGGUAGGGGUCCUGAGAGGGAGAUCCCCCACACUGGUACUGAGACACGGACCAGACUCCUACGGGAGGCAGCAGUGAGGAAUAUUGGUCAAUGGAGGCAACUCUGAACCAGCCAUGCCGCGUGCAGGAUGACGGUCCUAUGGAUUGUAAACUGCUUUUGUACGGGAAGAAAACAAACUACGAGUAGUUAAUUGACGGUACCGUAAGAAUAAGGAUCGGCUAACUCCGUGCCAGCAGCCGCGGUAAUACGGAGGAUCCAAGCGUUAUCCGGAAUCAUUGGGUUUAAGGGUCCGUAGGCGGCCUUAUAAGUCAGUGGUAAAGUUUUUGGCUUAACCAAAAAUUGCCAUUGAUACUGUAGGGCUUGAAUAUCUGUGAAGUAACUAGAAUAUGUAGUGUAGCGGUGAAAUGCUUAGAUAUUACAUGGAAUACCGAUUGCGAAGGCAGGUUACUAACAGAUGAUUGACGCUGAUGGACGAAAGCGUGGGUAGCGAACAGGAUUAGAUACCCUGGUAGUCCACGCCGUAAACGAUGGAUACUAGCUGUUUGGUUUUCGGACUGAGUGGCUAAGCGAAAGUGAUAAGUAUCCCACCUGGGGAGUACGGUCCCAAGACUGAAACUCAAAGGAAUUGACGGGGGCCCGCACAAGCGGUGGAGCAUGUGGUUUAAUUCGAUGAUACGCGAGGAACCUUACCAGGGCUUAAAUGUAGAUUGACAGAUUUGGAAACAGAUUUUUCUUCGGACAAUUUACAAGGUGCUGCAUGGUUGUCGUCAGCUCGUGCCGUGAGGUGUCAGGUUAAGUCCUAUAACGAGCGCACCCCUGUUGUUAGUUGCCAGCACGUAAUGGUGGGAACUCUACAAGACUGCCGUGUAAACUGUGAGGAAGUGGGGAUGACGUCAAUCAUCCCGG
rnacentral:rRNA from 1 species